rnacentral:rRNA from 1 species
GAAUAUUGGACAAUGGGCGAAAGCCUGAUCCAGCAACGCCGCGUGCGCGAUGAGGGCCUUCGGGUUGUAAAGCGCUUUUAGAGGAGAUGAGAAAGGACAGUAUCCUCAGAAUAAGCUUCGGCGAACUACGUGCCAGCAGCCGCGGUAAAACGUAGGAGGCUAGCGUUAUCAGGAUUUAUUGGGCGUAAAGCGCGUGCAGGCGGUUUGAUAAGUUGGAUGUGACAUCUCUCGGCUUAACUGGGAGCGGUCGUUCAAAACUAUCAGUCUAGAGUAUGGGAGAGGAAGGUGGAAUUCCGAGUGCAGCGGUCAAAUGCAUAUAUAUCCGGAGGAACACCAGUGGCGAAAGCGUCCAUCUAGAACAUUUCUGACUCUAAGACGCGAAAGC